CAAGCCAUUAGUCUACUACCAAACAUUCCAUUAGAAUAUUACUGGUGGACAAGUUCCAUUGUCCCACACGCUGUUCACUGUUUCUCUGAGUAUCCAAAGAAAUGACUUAGAAAUUUGUUCCAAAUACACAUACAUCCACCAUAUUUUUUUCUCAGUAAAAGUCACAUAACCCCUCUAGAUUCUUCCAGUGUACAUAUAAUAACAAGAAAACAAAUGACACGUGAAGGGUGGAGAAUAAUUUUCCCAGCAAAGCAAAGGUUAGCCCAGUAAGUAAGAGAAUGAGGCAAAACAAAGAGACUCUUUAGGUAUUUUUCUUUACAAGGGUGGUUGCCCCUCUUUGUUUAGCCUAUGAUUUUUCCAAUAAAAAAAAAGUAAAGCAACAACCCUUGUGAUUCAUGUUUAAUUUCCAGGAAAUUCUUGAAUCAUUCAACAGGGAAAACAUGCAUAUACUAGUAUACAACCAUAUUACUCAACUUCCAAUUUUCUACGUUAACAACUUUAAUUUGCCAAAUGCCUGUUUGCUGAUUUUCUAUUCUUUUUUCUUUUUGGAUGUGUAUGAUUAGAGGCGAUGAUGAUGAUGAUGAUGUAUUCGGAUUCUGGGCUAACCGGGUCGGGCAUGAGGACUAUUCGACCCGUAUCUUGGCUUGGCAAUUUUGCAGCCAUGGCGUGGUUGUCUCUCUUUGUGCCUCGAUCUCUUUGCACAUCUGAGCCUCAACAAUAUAUUUGGGGGGCAUUUGGCCAUGAAAAUUGUGAUAUUUGUUUGAAAGUGUGUUGAUGUGUUAUUGUUAAAGUUUAUGUUUCAAUCAAUUUUGAAAUAAAUGCAUAGUUUAAAAAUUUUUUGAUUUAUGUUUCAAUUAGUUUUGAAACAAAUGCAUCGAACACUUAAAAGAUUUUGAGUUAUAAAAAAAUGAUUGUGAAUUUUACAAUUCAUUGAUUAAAUUUUACGUAUUAGGGUCUUAGUUUGUUGAAAGAAAGAAAUUUUUUGUUUUAAAAUAUUCAUAACAAAUGUUUGUUAUUAGAGAAAAUAGUGUAAACACCUAAUUGUUUAUCAAAUCUAAGUGUUUUUCAUCAUUUUAUUGUUCAAUUUGUUUUUUUUAGGAUCAAAAUUAGAUAUUUUAAGUUUAUCUUAUUUUUAUAAAAUUUAUUUUAAAAAUUUUAAAAACUUUAAAAAUAGAGUUAAAUUUUUAAAUAAAUUUUUAUUUUAUUGUUUAUUUAUUUAUUUUAAGUAAUUUUUUUUUAAAAUUAUAUUUGUUUUCUUCUUUUUAACGUUUAAUAAAUAAUUUAGUGAUAUUAAUAUUUCGUAAACACGCUUUUAACUUACUUGUAUUGUAUUAGUUUUAAAUAAUUUUUUUUAUUAUGUAUUUUUAUUUUUAUUUUAAAUAUUAAUUUGGAAAAAGAAAAAAGAGAAACCUAAACUACUCCCACACUUCACGUUCUCUCCUACUCUCUCCACACACACGUCUCUCAACCUCUCCCAAAUUCAACUCACACAACAAACGUACAUACAUAGACCAAUAUAUAAACACACACAACAGAAAAAGAGAAAAAAAAAAAAGAUAGAGAGAAUGAGGGAAACAACGAGGCAAAAAAAAAAGUAAGAGAAAAAGAAGAAAAUAAGUCCCAACACUUUUUGUUCCAAAUACACACGGGCAAAAUCCAAAAACAAGAUUAAAAAAAGUAAAAGAAGCAAAAAGUAGUGAAUCCAAAGGCAAACAAAAAAGAAAAAAAAAAAGAAAAUUGAGAGAACAAAGGGGACAAUAAGUUGGAGAUUGAGGUUUGAUUCGAAGCUUUUUUUUUUUUUGGGAAAUUAUUUUACACAAGAGGUAACCAUCAAUCCUGCAAUUCAAUUUCAUGUUUAUAUAAAACUUGAUUCUUAUAUAAUGAAGUUGCUCAAGUGUCAUGUGCUUAACUGUUAAUAUUUAUAGUAUAUGUAUUCUCAUAAUUUUAUAUAGUCAGAUUCAUAUUAAAGUGGUCGAAACAGAUGAUAUGUUUUUGCAUGUUUAAGUUAAAUCACUUGUCCUUAGGUUGAUAAGAAAAAUUAUUAUUUUUAAUGUUGAUACUAACGCACACUGUGUAAUUUGUAAUAGUGAGCAAAAGUUGAUUCAUAUAUUAAAUUUAAUAAAGGAUAUACAGUAAUAUGAAAUAAUUUGUAAAGAAAUCUUCUGUUUAAGGUCCACUCUUUCCCUUCAUACAUUUUUUUUUUCGAAUUUACAUUGAUUAGUUAUUGAGUUAAUGCAUUUUAUUUGAUUCAUCUGAUUUUAUGUUCAGUGCUGAAAUAUAUUGUUACUUUCAUAUAAUAUAAUGACCAUCGAGUUUUAAGUCGUUAUAAUUGAGUUUAUUUAAAACUUAAAGAUUAGAUUUUAAGUUGAGUACAAAUAGUAAAGAGAAGUUAAACUAAAACGUGAAUAAAUAGUUGAAUAAUUUGUUUUCAUUUAAACCCUCUGAUGAUUUAAGUGAAUAAAAAAUUAGGCAAAACAUUAACUCUUCAUUGAUUGUUAAGAUUCCUUUUAGGAAUGAAAUACUAUCAAAAGAGCGAAGUGAAUAAUUCGUAUAAGAAUGAAUUUAGGUUCUUGACCUGUAGUAAAUUAAAAGUUCAAUAUAUAAGUGAUAAUUAACGAUGAAGUCGGAAAGCACUGCUAUCGACCGUUCGUUAUAAUAAAAUAAACAUACCAUUUGAAGCCGAUUGAAUUGGGUUGGGUAGAUUUUAAACCUGUUAGGUGCUUAUUUAGACUAGGAAAAUGGAGACGACUCAUAAAUCCCUCAAAGGCACGAGAAAUGUAUCAAAACUUGUGGUAUGACCGAAAAAUACUGCUACUGGCAAGCCACACAUUAAUAUAAUUAAAUAAUUUAAAAUUAAUAAAAGUGGGAUGUAAGUAACUUUUAGGCCAACAAAUAUUAUGUAUCCAAGAGAUUAAUUUAAGCCAGACGUAAGUCAUUAAAGCGAUCGUGCUAGAACUAUGGGACUCAAGGGGUGCCUCACACCUUCCCUCGAUCAAUAAAAUUCCUUAUACGGAUUUCUAGAUCGCAGACCAAAAAUUAAGAGUCAUUUCCUUUUGAAUAGGGAUUCAAUAAGGUGAUUUGAAACACCCAAAUUCAAUUUCAAGUGACGACUCUGUAAAAUAAUUAGUCCCUUUUCAAAACGUUACUUUAAUUGAAAAAAUUCAUUUUCUCAAAACCAACGCCUUAGCGAGGUCAGAUGCGAUAAAAAUAGGGGUGUGACAAAUAGUAGUAGCAUAUAUCUAAUAAGUUCAGACUCUUUAAAAGAAAUUAGAGAAAAUGCUCUAUUUCAAUCUUGAACUAUAGGCGAAAAGGUUGAGACACACCCGAACUUUAGGAGGGUCCCAUUACCUCUUGAACUAAUUAAAAUCAUAUUUUUGACAAUCUUAGUGCCUACAUGGCACAUACGUGGCACAACACACUGAAGGGUCCACGGAGGCACAUGUGUGUGUCACAUAUGUGUCACGUAUACAUUAAAGUUGUUAAAAAUAUGAUUUUAAUUAGUCCAGGGGGUAAUAGGAACCUCCUAAAGUUCGAGUGUGUUUCAGCCUUUCGUGUAUAGUUCAAGGUGAAAAUAAAGUAUUUUUCCAAGAAAUUAUAAAAUCAAACAUGAAUCCCAUGCAUAUGGAACUAAUAGUAAUAGAUUUAAUAGGACUAUCUAGAAAGAAUCUAGAAACAAAAGUACCCAUUUCAAUAUAUGAUAAUAGAUGGUUAGACUCAAAAAGAUUUAUAAUAGGAAUAACAGAAGUAGACAUGUCCUGUAAUGGAGGACUUUUUUACUGUAGUCCAGAUUAUAUGAUAAAUUCUUUAGAAUUUAAAAAAUAUAUUAAAAUAGGUAUUCAGACUAAAGGUUAUGAAGAGAUGAAUAAUGAAAAUAAUUUAUUAAUAUGUGUAGAAUUUAUAGAAAAACUUGUCACUAAUAGUGAUACGAAAUUUAGAGCUACUGGCUACACUUUCCAUUAGUUUUUUAUGAUUUCUAUUUCAUCUAUACUAUAAUUUGUUUUCAAAUUCUCGUCUUUUUGUAUUUCGUUAAGUGUCUCUUUCUUAUAUCUAUACCCAUAAGCUCCUUAUAAUAUUUAAGGUAAUUACAUUCUUAAAAGGAUCAAGGAAGUCUGAUAGGGUGGAGAGUACUUAAAGUCGAAUUUUAAAAUUUAUUUUUGUGAAAAAGAAGGCAUUGAAAAAUAAUUGAUCAUGUUCUAUACAUCAUAGCGAAACGGUGUAGUAGAAAGAAAAAAUAAAACUUUCAUAGAAAUGGUUUAUUCUAUGCUUUAUGGAUCUGAUAUGUCUGAAAAUUUAUGGACUAAAGUCUUUACUUUUAGCAUGUCUAUUUUGAAUAGAAUUACUUCCAGGAAUCAUGAUGCAUCUCCAUAUGAACUUUGAAAUAAUCAAAAGUCAAAUACAAAUUAUUUUAAAGCAUAAGAUUGUUUGGCUCAUGUUCUAUUAUUCAGAUCAAUAUUUAAUUAAGAUUGCCUAUAGAGAAGUAGAUUGUGUGUUUACUAAUUAUUUAUAAUUCAAUCAGGCUCAUAAAUUUUUAAAUUUUGAGACCCCAAGCCCUAAAAUAAUUAUUGAAUCUUUACAUGCUAAUUUUUUGAGCAUAUGUUUUUCAAGAAAAAAAAUUCUUUUGAAUAAGAUGCAAGUUCUUCUAUUUCUCCUCUUAAAAGAAAAAUAGUUGAGCCAUUGAAAGAAACUCAACCAAGACGUAGUUCAAGAUCAGCCAAACUAACAAACUUUGAACCUGAUUUUCAAGCUUAUUUGGUUGAAAAAUAUCCUGCUAAAGCUAUGUCUUCACGUGAUGCUCCUUUUUGGCAUGAAACUGUUGAUGAUGAAAUGCAUUUUAUUCUGUCAACUAAUACCUGAAUUUUAUCAGAUCUUCCUCUUGAAUGUAAAUCAAUUGGUUGGCGAUGAAUUUUUAGGAAGAAAAUGAAAGCCGAUGGUACUUUGGAUAAGUAUAAAACUCGCUUGGUAGCUAAAGGUUUUACUCAAUUGAAAGAUAUUGAUUAUUUUGAUACUUUUUCAUUUGUAUCUUGGAUGACCUUUAUUCGUCUAUUGAUUGCUUUAGCCGCAAUUCAUGAUCUUGUGAUUCAUUAGAUGGAUGUGAAGACUGUAUUCUUAAAUGGAGAUCUAGACAAAGAAGUCUACAAUGAAACAAGCAAAAGGAUUUGUCAUUUCUGAUAAAAAAAAUGUAAAGUUUGUAAGCUUCUUAAAUCUCUUUAUGGAUUAAAACAAGCUCAAAAGUAAUGGCAUGAGAAAUUUAGAAAAAUUAUGAUUUCUAAUGUCUACUUAAUCAAUGGUGGAGAUAUCUGCAUAUUUAGUAAUUUUUUUUAAAAAAUAGGUAAUAUAAUAUGUCUUUAUGUAGAUGAUAUGUUGAUUUUUGAAACUGAUAUUGCAAGAGUCAAGGAAACAAAAUAUUUUCUUGCUUCUCAGUUUGAAAUGAAAGAUCUUGGAGAAGCUUAUGCAAUUUUAGGCAUCAAAAUUAUAAGAUCAACAAAUGGUUUGACGCUUACUCAAUCAAGUUAUAUUGAGAAGGUUCUGAAGAGGUUUGGUCAUUUUGACGACAAGUCUGCUGCUACACCAUUUGAUCCUAGCAUCAAACUAGUGCGAAACUGUGGUAAUAUUCUUGAUCAAUUACGUAUUCUCAAAUUGUUGGGAGUUUUAUGUAUGUCAUGUGUUGUACCAGGUCAGAUAUUGAUUAUGCAGUAGGAACUUUGAGCAAGUUUACUGGUAGCUUUGAAAUUGAGCAUUGAAAUGUUUCAAUUCGUAUUUUAAGCAAUAUCUCGGAGAUCAAACAAGCAGACAUAUAUUGCUCACUCAACAAUGAAGUCAAAAUUUAUUGUAUGUCUUCUGCUGGAGAAGAAGCUGAUUGGCUGCGGAAUAUGCUGAUAGAUAUUCCAUUAUGGGGUAAAGCUAAUACCAUCUUUAACUAUCUAUUGUGAUAACAAAUUUGCUAUAUUUCGGACUUCAAGUGAUUGUUACAAUGGCAAGUCAAGACAAGUUCAUCUCAAACACAAUCAUGUGAGAAGAUUAUCGGAGGAUGGCAUAAUAUCGUUUCAAUAUGUGAAGUCCAGACUCAAUUUUACAUAUUUUUUGUCUAAAGGGUUAGGCAAGGAAUUAGUGAUGCAAACUUAUAAUGGAAUGGAAAUAAAACUUGUUGUAGAUUCAUUGUACUUUAUGGUAAUCCUACCUAAUGAUGUAAUCUUGGGUUCAAAGAGAAAAAAAAGUAAAGUUACAAUUGUGAAGCACAUCAAUAAAAUUUUCUUUUUUCCCUA